CUUCACCUAAAAAAAAAUCCCAUCGGCCCUCACAUUUCUCCCUGUCGUUCCCCAUUCUUCCUUGGUCGUCGCCAGCUCCCUCUCCCCGCCUCCUCAGGCCACCCCUCCCCUUCGUACCCACCGCCACCAAGAGGUUCGCAACCCCUGCUCUUCCCUGCCUUUCCAUCGAAUCCGGCCGCCCAAGUGGCCGAGGAGGUCCCCAAGCUCGGCGUGCACGGGAGCAUCCCAGUGCUAGGCUGCGUCGGAGGUGCGAGACUUCCACGCCCCUGCUCUUCCCCGUCCUUCUUCGAAUCUGGUCGCCGAAGUGCCGAAGGAUGCGCUUGAGCUCAGCAUGCUCACGGGCGACCCAGCGCGGAUGCCCGCAACAAGACAACAAGUAGCGGGCGUGGGUGCGCAAAAAUAUAUGGGCACAGUUCGAUGCCUCCACUGGCGUGCCUCUGUUUGAUGUGCUAUUCAAGAUCCCUGUACAAUUGUGUUAUUCAAGAUACAAUGGCACUUGAUGAUGCUUGCUAAGAAGGUCUGCAAUAUGCACUGGACUGUUGCUUGCCAGAUGACUGGAAGAUGGGUACUUCAUCCUAUCUUGUUUGUUCAUUUGAAGCAAGAUAAAUAAGAUUCAUGCAUUGUAAUGAAAACUGCAGAUUUAGCCAAACUCAACUGAUGGUGUAAUAUCUCUUCA